CGGACGGGUGAGUAACACGUGGAUAACCUACCUAUAAGACUGGGAUAACUUCGGGAAACCGGAGCUAAUACUGGAUAAUAUAUUGAACCGCAUGGUUCAAUAGUGAAAGACGGUUUUGCUGUCACUUAUAGAUGGAUCCGCGCCGCAUUAGCUAGUUGGUAAGGUAACGGCUUACCAAGGCGACGAUGCGUAGCCGACCUGAGAGGGUGAUCGGCCACACUGGAACUGAGACACGGUCCAG
rnacentral:rRNA from 1 species